rnacentral:misc_RNA from 1 species
GAAAAGGAAUCUCGGAGGCCUCAGAAUGUAUGAGGAAGGGCAGUUGACAAAGUAGUUCUAGUCCCUUAAACCUAUUAUCACAGCGGGAGAAACUAGGUCUAUUGCAGCUCUUGAAGUGCUUGCAGCUCCGCAGCGGUAGGACUUUUCUUUCACAAAGCCCUUUGUUUCUCUGCUUUGAAUUGUGAAAAGUGCGUUCUACCAAAGAGAGGAACGAAAAUGUCGGGUGUUUUAGAGUUUUUCAUUCCGAAUCACAUCGCCGAUUUGGAGGAUGCGAAGAAGAUAGGAUCGGAUUGCUACCAUGUCGAGGGUGUGUGCGAGUUCGACGUUCCUGAGCGUCAGCAACUUGAUGACCUGACACGGUUGUUUGAUGCACUGCACCACGAAAAAUCACCCACCGCCCUGUUCACGAAGCAGGACCUUUUCCUGCCGCUCUACUCGUACGUAAGAGCGAUUCGAGAGAAGUCCGGACAGUCGACUGUUGUCACGCGGGUUGCACGGCACAAACUAUGCCAUGAGGUCGGCGAGCGCUUGAAGAAACUACUCCAAGUGGCAGUGGCAUUUCUGAAGAAGCAGCGACCGGGAAGCGCGCAAAACGGUGCAUUGGAAGUAUGCCUGCGCUCUACUCUCAAGAUGUAUGCUUUCCUCGCCUGCAACGUACUUCUGUCUGUAGCGCCACCGGACGACGAUGAGAGUCCUAGCGGACUUUCGCAGCAGCAGUCUCACCGGAAACGGUCGCGUCGCGACAUAGAUGGCAGCUUUGGUGAUGAUGGAAGCGGUGUCGACAUGGACGGCAGGGAGCUGGUGCUCACUGCACUUGUCGAGCUUUGCUCACCGGACGUAAUGCAGCUGUGGCCCGAGUGUCGUUUGGAGGAUUCAACGUUGAAUCUUGUUCUAAAAAUGUGCCUUCACAUGGUCACAUUGAAGCAAAAUGUCGGUGGCGAUGCUCAGUCAGUUGGUGGCGCCCUGGCGCUUCUCUUUGCGCGCGCAAGCAACUGCAUUCUCUCGAAAAAGAGCGUAGCAAACUCGACAGAACUCGUGACUCCUUUGGUGGAGCUCUCGCUCAAGUCGGAAAGCGCUUCCGUGUUUCUCUCAAAACUUGUUUCUGACAUUGAGCAAAGCGAGACGAGCGUCGGAUUUGGUGAUGAGCUGUUGCGCGCUAUCUUUGAAACGAUGUCUCGAGCUGCCCUCUACGAGGCGGCCAACGAUUCUGCCGCUGCGAAGAACGUUGCGUGCUUCUUUGGAGAAGUGGCGAAGCAGAGCGUGACUGUUGUGGUGAAGAUGGCUGACCUUGUUAUUCCAGCCCUGCAGAGUGAGAAUUACGAUAUCCGGAAGGCGGUAGUGACGUGUAUCGCGGAAAUGGUGCUUCAGCGCUAUACCGGACACGCGCGAAACGCCAACGAUGAUGCCGUAAGAAACUCGUACCUGAAGGAGCUUCUUUUUCGUGUCAUGGAUGUGAACGCGUUUGUGCGUAACCACGUCUUGCAUACCUGGGAGCGCUUAGUGGAGAGUCGGGCGGUGCCAAAGAGGUACCACUUGGCUGUGAUGGCUGCGCUCGUUGGUCGGCUUGAGGACCGCAAUUAUCUUGUCCGCGACGCUGCCAUGACUGUGAUUUCGAGCGUGCUGCGCAAAAACUGGUUUGGCAACGUUCUGAACAGCGCGCUUGUCAAGAGCAAGUUGGAGGAGGCUCUCAGGGACGGAAUUGUGUGCUUUGGCGACACGUCCGCGAUGGAGAAAGAAAUCGAGAACACCAGGGCGCAGUUUCAGCCGGCGAUGGAGGUGCUAGGCGAUCCUCUCGAUGUGAAUGAGGAGGAGGUGCCUAGAGCGGUGGAGGUAGAGGGGGCGUACAUAUCGCGAGAGGAGGACGCUGUGAUGUCCGACAAGCAGACGGUCGUCAUCAACAGGAUUGUAUUUUACCAGAACACGCUCUGUUUUGUCGAGCUGAUCAAGCAAGCACUGCAGUAUGCGUGCGUUUUGCUGGAUAGCAAGACUGAGCGGGACGUAAUUGAGUCGAUCAAGCUCAUUGUUGUCUGCUCUGAGUACCGUGUCCAAGGGGGGGAGCGGGCGUUUUUGAAGGUUCUUGUCAUGGUGUUCGAGGGCGAGAUAAAGAUCCAGUUUGCCGUCCGUGAUGCUUUUGCAGAGGUCGUCUUCAACGCGUUUAACCGCGUCGCGGCCUCGUCAGGGACCCGCGUCGCUGCCAGUGCGCAGAAGCUGAUCAGUCUCCUCCGUUUCGCCUCCGAGGGUGAGGUGAGCGCAGUGGAUCGCAUUUUCGGGCUCAUGAAAGCCAACCCCGCUUUGGCGCGACACCUCUCGGCGCAGUUUGUAGAGGCAAUGUGGAGCAUCGCAGAGGGCUCGAUCGACGCCGACGCCACCGACGGUGACCGGCGCAUUGCCAUGCGCAUAUACAGUCUGUUGAGCAAGUACGUCUGGAAGGACCUGCGCGCGCGCAAGGACAGCAUAGUCGAGUUUCUUUGCUCCGACAGUCACAAGGACAACGUACUGCUGUCGUACGUCUUCGCUGCUCUUCAAAGCGAGGCGCUGGACCCUCAGUUUCGCCCGAUUCCGGCCGAUGAGGAUGUCCGGCGGCAUCCGGUGCUCCGACACGUGGUCAAUCACCUCUGCCGCCGCACGGAAGGGAUGGCGUCGUGGAUGAUCCUCGCGGAAGCUGGCGUCAACGUCAUACACACCCUGUGCGAGGUUCCUGUCAUGGUGUACAACUACAUUCUCGAGUACUACGGGUCGUGCGAGAAUCUAGAAACGCAACCGAACCGGAAGGCACAGUGCCUUUUCUUACUCGGACACACGGCACUGAAGCAGCUGGUGGCGGUGGAGGCGGCAGAGAAAGCGCAGCUGAAAGCUCUGGAAGAGCCCACGAAGGGCGUCGCUCAGGUAUCACCAAAGGUGAGUGACCAAACGGACUCGAUGCACAAGGAGCUGGGGCUGGGCUCGCACGAGCUGCGGAGGCACGAGAUUCAGGAGCUGGCGCAAAAGCGGAAGCAGGCAAUCAUUUCACCCGGCUCUGUUUGGUCUCGCUUUGCCGAUAUGAUCGUCGCCACAUGCCGAAAAAAGUUCUCGGUUUACGCGGACAAGCCGUUCGAGCGCGUGUGCGCCGUCCUUGCCCUUUGCCAGUACAUGAUUGUAAACGAGGGCUUCUGCUCUGAGCACCUCAGCCUCCUCUUUGCUAUCGUCGCCGACAAGCGCGAGUCGUGGGUCACGAAAGUGAACGUUGUGAUUGCCCUCGGUGACCUCGUGUGCGUGCACCCCAAUCUGCUGGGCCCGUAUCUGAGCGUUCCCACCACGGGCUUCUUCAAGCUGCUGGUCGAUGAGGACGUUCGCGUUCGCGCCGUGACGAUCCAGGUAUGCUCUCACCUCGUUCUGGGAGAGAUGCUGCGUAUCCGCGACCACCUGUACACCAUCGUGAAGCUCGUUGCAGACCCGGACGAAACGAUCGCCAACAACGCCGUUACCUUUGUGCAGAACUUGGCGAUGAAAGAGAAGGAGAAGAUUGGCAAUUUGAUCCCGCCGCUGGCGACGCAGCUGAGCAAUGCCAUGCCGUUUGACAAGUUCCAACUGGCGAUGCGCACCUUGUUGGAGCGCGUGGAAGGGGACAAGCCGACGGAUUCACUGAUCGACCGUCUGUGCCAGCGCUUUGAGUCUUUUUCAGAACGCAGCAAGAAGAAACUCGCCGUUGCACGGAACAUCGCGUUCUGCCUCAGCGAGCUCAACUACACGACGGAGCGGACAAUCAAGCGGCUGACUUCCGAGUCGUGCUACCAACAAUACAGGCACUGGCUACGUUGCGCUGACGUGUAUGAGUACUUCAAGCUCAUUGCAACAAAGGCGAAGAAGCAGGGCCGCGGUGGACCGGAGCGCCGUGAUCGCGCAGCCGUUGAGGAGUGGGAGGCAAGGAUGCAGAUGGACUCGUGCGCGGAGGCUGACGGCGAGGAGAAGACGUCCGUCGCGGUUGCGCAGGAAGCGCCUGUGGAGUGAGGUCCUCACCGGAUGCGCCGCCGAAGGGAUAGCAUCUGUUCACUGUAUACCUAUCACCUGGAGUUGGCGGCCUGGAUGCUACAGCGUGAGUUUCAGGUCGUGGUUCUGCAGUUGUGCCGCUCGACAGAGAAGAAGCGACCAUAGAAUUCGAAACUUGGCAGAGAUAGAGGUGUUGUUUGCUUUGUUUGAGCCGUGUAUCAUGAUGCCUUCUUUUUGUUAUGGCGGAGUGCGCGAUUUGCACGGUCGCUGCCACAGAUGGCAAUAGAGUAGAUAAGCGCGCUCCUUUUUUCUCUAUUUUUCUAUUCUGUGUCUGCAAGCGAAAGCAGCGCAGCUGAACGAGACAGAACGCGUUCCGGAACAGAAGGAGACAAGUGGUGCAGGGCUGAAACCUCGCUGGCGCCUUGAGGUUUCCGCGUUGAAUUUGCACUUGCAAUGUAGCGCGUAUGAGAGGGUGAAUUCUACAGCCUGACCGUCGCUGCCGGCAUUCUGUUUCCCAUCAUGACUUAGCUCUUCGGAGAGAUCGUCCACAGCGGUCGUCUUGGGCACACCGAUGCCCCCCUCCCUCCUCCGGAAGAAGUGAGCAGCAAUGCAUCCCCUCCCCUCCCCCUCUGUUUUUCCUGUUUUGAUUUUUUUAUCAAUCUUGCCGCGUCUUCGGAG